CAACGCUGGCGGCGUGCCUAACACAUGCAAGUCGAACGAGAAAGUGGAGCAAUCCACAAGUAAAGUGGCGCACGGGUGAGUAACACGUGACUAACCUACCCUUGAGUGGGGGAUAACCUAGGGAAACCUGGGCUAAUACCGCAUAAUACCUAUGGGUCAAAGGAGCAAUUCGCUUUUGGAGGGGGUCGCGGCAGAUUAGUUAGUUGGCAGGGUAAUGGCCUACCAAGACGAUGANCUGUAUCCGGCCUGAGAGGGCGCACGGACACACUGGAACUGAAACACGGUCCAGACUCCUACGGGAGGCAGCAGUGGGGAAUUUUGCGCAAUGGGGGAAACCCUGACGCAGCAACGCCGCGUGGAGGAUGAAGACCCUUGGGUCGUAAACUCCUUUCGAUCGGGACGAUAA
rnacentral:rRNA from 1 species